rnacentral:misc_RNA from 1 species
GUUGUUAAGUAUUUUUGGCCUCUCUUACUCUCUACUGCUCUCUUCCUAAUCGCCGUCGUUCUCUUUGGAUGGAUUUCUCCGCCGGUAUCUGAGGUUUCCGGUGAGAAAACCGGUGAAGGUAUUUUGGAAUUCGUAGCGGGUCAACCCGAAGAACAAUUACAAACGCAUCUACAUGAUUUACAUGAACAUGAAGGAGACGGAGAAGAUGAAGAAGGUGAAAGUAGUAAAGUAGAGUGAAG